AUUGUAGGCCACACUACCCUUUACACCCCUGAUCUCAGAAACUAAGCAGGGGUGGACCUGGUUGGGACUUGUGGAUGGGAGGACAAUGGUACACUGAGAUCAAGGUCAUUUAUAAAA
rnacentral:rRNA from 1 species